CUUAUUUCCCAGCAGAUCAAUCUGAUCAAUCGCUCCCUCUAAAUCCUUCCAUUGGCGAUGUUCUCCAUCAGAGCCAAAGCGCUCCACAUUUACGCGGCACACCUUCACGCAGCUACUUAUGUACGUGUGAUACAUACCU